GCGACCCCAGGAUGGGCGGGGUGA
rnacentral:rRNA from 1 species